CUGUGAGCUCGAUGAGUAGGGCGGGACACGUGGUAUCCUGUCUGAAUAUGGGGGGACCAUCCUCCAAGGCUAAAUACUCCUGACUGACCGAUAGUGAACCAGUACCGUGAGGGAAAGGCGAAAAGAACCCCGGCGAGGGGAGUGAAAAAGAACCUGAAACCGUGUACGUACAAGCAGUGGGAGCACAGAGCAAUCUGUGUGACUGCGUACCUUUUGUAUAAUGGGUCAGCGACUUAUAUUCUGUAGCAAGGUUAACCGAAUAGGGGAGCCGAAGGGAAACCGAGUCUUAACUGGGCGUUAAGUUGCAGGGUAUAGACCCGAAACCCGGUGAUCUAGCCAUGGGCAGGUUGAAGGUUGGGUAACACUAACUGGAGGACCGAACCGACUAAUGUUGAAAAAUUAGCGGAUGACUUGUGGCUGGGGGUGAAAGGCCAAUCAAACCGGGAGAUAGCUGGUUCUCCCCGAAAGCUAUUUAGGUAGCGCCUCGUGAAUUCAUCUCCGGGGGUAGAGCACUGUUUCGGCAAGGGGGUCAUCCCGACUUACCAACCCGAUGCAAACUGCGAAUACCGGAGAAUGUUAUCACGGGAGACACACGGCGGGUGCUAACGUCCGUCGUGAAGAGGGAAACAACCCAGACCGCCAGCUAAGGUCCCAAAGUCAUGGUUAAGUGGGAAACGAUGUGGGAAGGCCCAGACAGCCAGGAUGUUGGCUUAGAAGCAGCCAUCAUUUAAAGAAAGCGUAAUAGCUCACUGGUCGAGUCGGCCUGCGCGGAAGAUGUAACGGGGCUAAACCAUGCACCGAAGCUGCGGCAGCGACGCUUAUGCGUUGUUGGGUAGGGGAGCGUUCUGUAAGCCUGUGAAGGUGUGCUGUGAGGCAUGCUGGAGGUAUCAGAAGUGCGAAUGCUGACAUAAGUAACGAUAAAGCGGGUGAAAAGCCCGCUCGCCGGAAGACCAAGGGUUCCUGUCCAACGUUAAUCGGGGCAGGGUGAGUCGACCCCUAAGGCGAGGCCGAAAGGCGUAGUCGAUGGGAAACAGGUUAAUAUUCCUGUACUUGGUGUUACUGCGAAGGGGGGACGGAGAAGGCUAUGUUGGCCGGGCGACGGUUGUCCCGGUUUAAGCGUGUAGGCUGGUUUUCCAGGCAAAUCCGGAAAAUCAAGGCUGAGGCGUGAUGACGAGGCACUACGGUGCUGAAGCAACAAAUGCCCUGCUUCCAGGAAAAGCCUCUAAGCAUCAGGUAACAUCAAAUCGUACCCCAAACCGACACAGGUGGUCAGGUAGAGAAUACCAAGGCGCUUGAGAGAACUCGGGUGAAGGAACUAGGCAAAAUGGUGCCGUAACUUCGGGAGAAGGCACGCUGAUAUGUAGGUGAAGUCCCUCGCGGAUGGAGCUGAAAUCAGUCGAAGAUACCAGCUGGCUGCAACUGUUUAUUAAAAACACAGCACUGUGCAAACACGAAAGUGGACGUAUACGGUGUGACGCCUGCCCGGUGCCGGAAGGUUAAUUGAUGGGGUCAGCGCAAGCGAAGCUCUUGAUCGAAGCCCCGGUAAACGGCGGCCGUAACUAUAACGGUCCUAAGGUAGCGAAAUUCCUUGUCGGGUAAGUUCCGACCUGCACGAAUGGCGUAAUGAUGGCCAGGCUGUCUCCACCCGAGACUCAGUGAAAUUGAACUCGCUGUGAAGAUGCAGUGUACCCGCGGCAAGACGGAAAGACCCCGUGAACCUUUACUAUAGCUUGACACUGAACAUUGAGCCUUGAUGUGUAGGAUAGGUGGGAGGCUUUGAAGUGUGGACGCCAGUCUGCAUGGAGCCGACCUUGAAAUACCACCCUUUAAUGUUUGAUGUUCUAACGUUGACCCGUAAUCCGGGUUGCGGACAGUGUCUGGUGGGUAGUUUGACUGGGGCGGUCUCCUCCUAAAGAGUAACGGAGGAGCACGAAGGUUGGCUAAUCCUGGUCGGACAUCAGGAGGUUAGUGCAAUGGCAUAAGCCAGCUUGACUGCGAGCGUGACGGCGCGAGCAGGUGCGAAAGCAGGUCAUAGUGAUCCGGUGGUUCUGAAUGGAAGGGCCAUCGCUCAACGGAUAAAAGGUACUCCGGGGAUAACAGGCUGAUACCGCCCAAGAGUUCAUAUCGACGGCGGUGUUUGGCACCUCGAUGUCGGCUCAUCACAUCCUGGGGCUGAAGUAGGUCCCAAGGGUAUGGCUGUUCGCCAUUUAAAGUGGUACGCGAGCUGGGUUUAGAACGUCGUGAGACAGUUCGGUCCCUAUCUGCCGUGGGCGCUGGAGAACUGAGGGGGGCUGCUCCUAGUACGAGAGGACCGGAGUGGACGCAUCACUGGUGUUCGGGUUGUCAUGCCAAUGGCACUGCCCGGUAGCUAAAUGCGGAAGAGAUAAGUGCUGAAAGCAUCUAAGCACGAAACUUGCCCCGAGAUGAGUUCUCCCUGACUCCUUGAGAGUCCUGAAGGAACGUUGAAGACGACGACGUUGAUAGGCCGGGUGUGUAAGCGCAGCGAUGCGUUGAGCUAACCGGUACUAAUGAACCGUGAGGCUUAACCUUACAACGCCGAAG
rnacentral:rRNA from 1 species